rfam:Brachypodium distachyon strain Bd21 chromosome 3, whole genome shotgun sequence.
GUAAUACUCCCUCCGUUCAACAAAAGAUGUCUCAAGUUUGUCAAAAUUUGGAUAUAUGUAGACAUGACUUAGUGUAUAGAUGCAUUCAAAUUUAGUCAAUGUUGAGACAUCCUUUGUUGGACGGAGGGAAAGUU